rnacentral:rRNA from 1 species
CACGUAGGGGGCAAGCGUUGUCCGGAUUUAUUGGGCGUAAAGAGCUCGUAGGCGGUUUGUCGCGUCUGCUGUGAAAACUCGGGGCUUAACUCCGGGCCUGCAGUGGGUACGGGCAGACUAGAGUGCGGUAGGGGAGACUGGAAUUCCUGGUGUAGCGGUGAAAUGCGCAGAUAUCAGGAAGAACACCCGUGGCGAAAGCGGCUCUCUGGAACGGUACUGACGCUGAGACGCGAAAGCGUGGGGAGCAAACAGG